rnacentral:lncRNA from 1 species
CAUUGAUCAGUGUAGUGAUCAGUUGAAAUGCAAAUUCCACACUUCUUAGCAAUUUGUGGAGUGGAGGUUUUAAACAAACUUGCAAUCUUGUCGAGUUUGCUUUCUAAAUUAUUCAAUCUUUCAUCUAUCCUCCUUCCGUCAACUACACCAUUUUCAAUUUCAUGAACUUCUUUCAACAAAGCCACUGAAUUUUCUCUUGUUACAUAUUGUUGAUUGUCUACUGCCUUCCGUUCAAUUGGAUCUAUCCCAUCUUCUAGUGACCCGUCUAAGAAAUAUCCUCCGCUUGCAGCAUCUGCCC